rnacentral:rRNA from 1 species
UGCGGAAGGAUCAUUAAUGAAUUUUAGGACUCUCUUUUUAGAGGUCCGACCACUUCAUUUCCUUACACUGUGCACAUACUUCUUUUCACACAUUUUAACACAUUAGUAUAAGAAUGUAACAGUCUCUUAAUUGAGCAUAAAUAAAAAUAAAACUUUCAGCAACGGAUCUCUUGGCUCUCGCAUCGAUGAAGAACGCAGCGAAUUGCGAUAAGUAAUGUGAAUUGCAGAAUUCAGUGAAUCAUCGAAUCUUUGAACGCACCUUGCACUCUUUGGUAUUCCGAAGAGUAUGUCUGUUUGAGUGUCAUGAAACUCUCAACCCCCCUAUUUUGUAAUGAGAUGGGUGUGGGCUUGGAUUAUGGUUGUUGUCGGCGUAAUUGCCGGCUCAACUGAAAUACACGAGCAACCCCUUUGAAAUAGACGGUUUGACUCGGCGUAAUAAUUAUUUCGCUGAGGACGUCUUCUUCAAAAGUAAGCGGUGCUUCUAAUGCGCUUUUAAAGCAUCUUAAGCUUUAGACCUCAAAUCAGUCAGGACUACCCGCUGAACUUAAGCAUA